rnacentral:rRNA from 1 species
CCCUUAGAUGUUCUGGGCGGCCCGCGCACUACAAUGGCGCUUUCAGCGAGUUCCUAUGUUGAAUUUUCCUGGGUAUUCUUGGAAGCGGCGUCUUGACUUGGGAUAGAUCCUUGUAAUUGUUGGUUUUGAACGAGGAAUACCUUGUAAGCGCGGGUCAUCAUCCCGCGCUGAAUACGUCCCUGCCCUUUGUACACACCGCCCGUCGCUCCUACCGAUUGAGUGGUCCGGUGAGGCUUUGGGAUCUGAGCGGAAAGAGCGUUUCGCUGUUUCUGCUCGGAAAACUCAGUCGAACCUUAUCAUUUAGAGGAAGGAGAAGUCGUAACA